UUCGUUUAUUUUAUCUUGCAUUUGUUGUCCAAGUUAAUUUCCUGAAAGGUGAUUUCAUCACUAUUAGAUGUCUGUUGGUAUCUGGUAUAAUUACAAUUAAUACAUUAUUUAUUUUUUAAUCCUCUAUAAUGCUUUACAUGUAUAGAAUUGAUUAUUGUCUCUACAUUGCCUGGAUAGAUGGCAGUUGUUGGUUUCCUAACAUCAUGAUAUUUAAGCAUAACAUCCUACCAAAAAAAAAAAAAGAAAAA